CGUUGAACAUCUUCCUAGGGCAAGAAGACUCGCUUCGCACCUUUCUUGGAAGUUCGAAUUGGCCUUCCAUAUCAAGAAAUUUUCUAUCUCUAGGACCAUAGGACUUCUACGAUAUGCCCGGAGGGAGAAAACCUUUAGCAAGGAAUCAUUUCCUGCUACACCCCUCUUGAGGACCUUUCUCUCUUGAAGAUGGUCUUCUUGGCAA
rnacentral:lncRNA from 1 species